rnacentral:rRNA from 1 species
AUUGAACGCUGGCGGCAGGCUUAACACAUGCAAGUCGAGCGAGCGGCGGACGGGUGAGUAGUGUAUGGGAAACUGCCUGAUGGAGGGGGAACACCAAUGGAAACGGUAGCUAAUACCGCAUACCAUCAGAUGUGCCAAGAUGGGAAUAGAUAGUGGGUGGGGGAAUGGCACAUCUAGGCGACGAUCCCUAGCUGGUCUGAGAGGAUGACCAGCCAAACUGGAACUGAGACACGGUCCAGACUCCUACGGGAGGCAGCAGUGGGGAAUAUUGCACAAUGGGCGCAAGCCUGAUGCAGCCAUGCCGCGUGUGUGAAGAAGGCCUUCGGGUUGUAAAGCACUUUCAGCGAGGAGGCGUUACUCGCAGAAGAAGCACCGGCUAACUCCGUGCCAGCAGCCGCGGUAAUAC